CCUACGGGAGGCAGCAGUGAGGAAUAUUGGUCAAUGGACGAGAGUCUGAACCAGCCAAGUAGCGUGAAGGAUGACUGCCCUAUGGGUUGUAAACUCCUUUUAUAUGGGAAUAAACUGUUACAUGAGUGGGCUUUUGUAUGGACCAUAUGAAUAAGGAUAGGCUAACUCCGUGCCGGCAGCCGCGGUAAGACGGAGGAUCCGGGCGUUAUCCGGAUUGAUUGGGUUUAAAGGGAGCGUAGGUGGAUUGUUAAGUCAGUUGUGAAAGUUUGCGGCUCAACCGUAAAAUUGCAGUUGAAACUGGCAGGCUUGAGUACAGUAGAGGUGGGCGGAAUUCGUUGUGGAGCGGUGACAUGCUUAGAUAUCACGAAGAACUCCGAUUGCGAAGGCAGCUCACUGGACUUCAACUGACACUGAGGCUCGAAAGUGUGGGUAUCAAACAGGAUUAGAUACCCGGGUAGUC
rnacentral:rRNA from 1 species